ACUGCCGAGAACAGAAGUUUAUCUGCACGCUUAAAGCAAAAGCUUAAAAUAGAGGCUGUGCUGUUCAGGGCAGCCCAGAGGAGGCCCGCAUCCAUAGAAGCACAGGAUUGCUGUGACAGGGCCUGAGUCUGAAUGGGGAAAGGGAGUCGUACUGCAGACACCAGAAGCUGUGUUCGGGCCUCUUACCCCCACAGCGCCCUGCCAAGACUCCUCGGCCAGAGAUCCCCUUUGUGCACUCAGCUUUCCCACACGACAUGCGCUCGGAUUUGUGGGAAAAGUUCCCCCUAUUUCCCCUCCUGCCCUUGGAAGACCAGAAAUAAUUACCUAGUUAACUCCCAUCCUGUUUUCAUGAAACCCAUCUUUUUCCUAAGUGGAAGAAGAAAUUGUUCAGCGAUAAAAGAAAUUUUAAUUAAAUCAAGAAUGAAGCCACACAUUCACACAUCAUUUACUUGGGCUUAAGGUGCUUGGGCUUUUCGAAGUCUAAAAGCCACAAUAGAAAACGGUGCUUUUAACUCGAAAGACAUCAAAAGUCUAUUUUAAAUCUGAAAUGGCAGAGAAUUCACAAUUAUUUGUAAUUUGAUUAUAAUGAAUAAAACACUUGUGCACAGCUGUCAUAAAUCAAAAUAAAAAAGAUCCAGUCGAUCCUGUUACACACAAGAAAGUAAU